GAGUUUGAUCMUGGCUCAGAAUGAACGCUGGCGGCACGCUUAACACAUGCAAGUCGAACGGGAUCUUCGGAUCUAGUGGCAGACGGGUGAGUAACGCGUGGGAACCUGCCCAGUAGUAGAGAAUAACUUGAGGAAACUUAAGCUAAUACUUUAUACACCCUUCGGGGAAAAGCUUUAUGCGCUAUUGGAUGGGCCCGCGUUAGAUUAGUUUGUUGGUGAGGUAAUGGCUCACCAAGACUACGAUCUAUAGCUGGUCUGAGAGGAUGAUCAGCCACACUGGGACUGAGACACGGCCCAGACUCCUACGGGAGGCAGCAGUGGGGAAUAUUGGACAAUGGGGGCAACCCUGAUCCAGCGAUGCCGCGUGAGUGAUGAAGGCCUUCGGGUUGUAAAACUCUUUCGUCAGGGAAGAUAAUGACGGUACCUGAAGAAGAAGAUCCGGCUAACUCCGUGCCAGCAGCCGCGGUAAUACGGAGGGAUCUAGCGUUAUUCGGAAUUACUGGGCGUAAAGCGAGCGUAGGCGGAUUUGUAAGUUGGAGGUGAAAUCCCAGAGCUUAACUCUGGAACUGCCUUCAAAACUACAUUUCUUGAGUUUGGUAGAGGAGAGUGGAAUUCCUAGUGUAGAGGUGAAAUUCGUAGAUAUUAGGAGGAACACCAGUGGCGAAGGCGACUCUCUGGGCCAAUACUGACGCUGAGGUUCGAAAGCAUGGGUAGCGAACAGGAUUAGAUACCCUGAUAGUCCAUGCAGUAAACGAUGAGUGCUAGAUGUUGGGAAUUUAAAUUUCCAGUAUCGCAGUUAACGCGUUAAGCACUCCGCCUGGG
rnacentral:rRNA from 1 species